UACGAAGGGUGCAAGCGUUACUCGGAAUUACUGGGCGUAAAGCGUGCGUAGGCGGUUCGUUAAGUCUGUCGUGAAAGCCCUGGGCUCAACCUGGGAAUUGCGAUGGAUACUGGCGAGCUAGAGUACGGUAGAGGAUGGUGGAAUUCCCGGUGUAGCGGUGAAAUGCGUAGAGAUCGGGAGGAACAUCAGUGGCGAAGGCGGCCAUCUGGGACAACACUGACGCUGAAGCACGAAAGCGUGGGGAGCAAACAGG
rnacentral:rRNA from 1 species